UCAAGUUACAAAGGGCGCAGGGCGGAUGCCUUGGCACCAGGAGCCGAAGAAGGACGUGAUAAGCUGCGAAAAGCUGCGGGGAGGAGCAAAUAUCCAUUGAUCCGCAGGUAUCCGAAUGGGGAAACCCGGCAGAAAGAACUUCUGUCACCGUAUGAUGAAUCCAUAGUCAUACGGAGGGAACCCGGCGAACUGAAACAUCUAAGUAGCCGGAGGAAGAGGAAGAAACAUCGAAUCCCUAAGUAGUGGCGAGCGAAAGGGGACGAAGCCCAAACCAAGGAUUUAUCCUUGGGGUUGAGGACCACAUACGAAGAAGCAGUAGGUAGCAGAACGGUUUUGGGAAAGCCGGCCAAAGAGAGUGAAAGCCUCGUAUGCGAAACAGACUGUGAUUCAGUGGUAUCCGGAGUACUACGGGACACGAGAAACCCCGUAGGAAGCAGGGGGGACCACCCCCCAAGGCGAAAUACUACCUGGUGACCGAUAGAGUAUAGUACCGUGAGGGAAAGGUGAAAAGAACCCCGGGAGGGGAGUGAAAGAGAACCUGAAACCCUGUGUCUACAAGCUGCGGAAGCACGACUAACGUGCGACCGUGUACUUUUUGUAGAACGGUCCGGCGAGUUGCCGUUGCUGGCAGGUUAAGUACUUAAGGUACGGAGCCGAAGGGAAACCAAGUCUUAAUAGGGCGGUAAGUCAGUAACGGCAGACCCGAAACCGGGUGACCUACCCAUGGCCAGGAUGAAGUCUGCGUAAAAGUGGAUGGAGGUCCGAACACACGUCUGUUGAAAAAGGCGGUGAUGAGCUGUGGGUAGCGGAGAAAUUCCAAUCGAACUCGGAGAUAGCUGGUUCUCCCCGAAAUAGCUUUAGGGCUAGCCUCGGUAUAGUCUAAUGGAGGUAGAGCACUGAAUCGCUGCGGGGGCGUCAAAGUCUACCAAUGCGUAUCAAACUCCGAAUGCCAUAUAGAUGUUUACCGGGAGUCAGACUGUAUGAGAUAAGUCGGACAGUCAAAAGGGAAACAGCCCAGACCAUCUGCUAAGGUCCCAAAGUGUAUGUUAAGUGGUAAAGGAUGUGGGGUUUCGAAGACAACUAGGAUGUUGGCUCAGAAGCAGCCAUUCAUUCAAAGAGUGCGUAAUAGCUCACUAGUCGAGAGGUCCUGCGCCGAAAAUGUCCGGGGCUGAAACAUAACACCGAAGCAAUGGAAUAUACCGUAAGGUAUGUUGGUAGGGGAGCAUUGAUAACACGAAGAAGCGGUACCGUAAGGAGCCGUGGAGGGUUAUCAAGAGAGAAUGCCGGAAUGAGUAGCGAGAUGAAGGUGAGAAUCCUUCAGGCCGUAUAUCCAAGGUUUCCAGGGUAAAGCUGAUCUUCCCUGGGGAAGUCGGGACCUAAGCUCAGGCUGAGAAGCGUAGGCGAUGGACAACUGGUUGAUAUUCCAGUACCUCUGGCUAUCAGAAAUGUGGGGACACGGAGAUUCAGGGAGUGCCUGUAAAGGAUUCAGGUGCAAGCAUGGUUUAUGCCGGGCAGGCAAAUCCGUCCGGGUAAGUGGACUGUGUGAUGCGGACCGAAAUAUAAGUAGGGAAGCUCCUGGGAGAGCCGUCGAGAAAAGCCGCUAUUGUGUAGUCAGAGCCCGUACCGUAAACCGACACAGGUGGAUGGGGAGAGUAUCCCAAGGCCGGCGGGAGAAGCAUUGUUAAGGAACUCGGCAAAAUGGCCCCGUAAGUUCGCGAUAAGGGGUGCCUGUAGAGAUACAGGCCGCAGAGAAUAGGCUCAAGCAACUGUUUAGCAAAAACACAGGUCUAUGCGAAACCGUAAGGUGAUGUAUAUGGGCUGACGCCUGCCCGGUGCUGGAAGGUUACGGGGAGUGCUUAGGAGCAAUCCGAAGGUACGAACUUAAGCCCCAGUAAACGGCGGCCGUAACUAUAACGGUCCUAAGGUAGCGAAAUUCCUUGUCGGGU
rnacentral:rRNA from 1 species